rnacentral:rRNA from 1 species
CCUACGGGCGGCAGCAGUGGGGAAUAUUGGGCAAUGGGCGCAAGCCUGACCCAGCAACGCCGCGUGAAGGAAGAAGGCUUUCGGGUUGUAAACUUCUUUUGUCAGGGACGAAGCAAGUGACGGUACCUGACGAAUAAGCCACGGCUAACUACGUGCCAGCAGCCGCGGUAAUACGUAGGUGGCAAGCGUUAUCCGGAUUUAAUGGGUGAACAGGGCGUGUAGGCGGGAAUGCAAGUCAGAUGUGAAAACUAUGGGCUCAACCCAUAGACUGCAUUUGAAACUGUAUUUCUUGAGUGCUGGAGAGGCAAUCGGAAUGCCGUGUGUAGCGGUGAAAUGCGUAGAUAUACGGAGGAACACCAGUGGCGAAGGCGGAUUGCUGGACAGUAACUGACGCUGAUGCGCGAAAGCGUGGGGAGCAAACAGGAUUAGAUACCCCAGUAGUC